GGGUUUAAAUACUACCAUUCUGCUCCAAUACUUCCUCUUGUCAUUGGUGCCAUCUUAGGAAGGCCUUUCUUCUCGAGAUGAGAGCCAAGUGGAGGAAGAAGCGUAUGCGCAGGCUGAAGCGCAAAAGGAGAAAGAUGAGACAAAGGUCCAAGUAAACUUCUCCUCCAUUGCUGCCUUUGAGACUGGCAAGCUGAACAUAGCUCUCUUGAACAGACUAUGAAGUUCAUCACCAAUUAGCCAUCGCAAGGGAGCUGUCCUGCACUAGACUGAACCCUAACCACAGUCUGCAAGCUUUUGCCAAGUUUGCCAGGGUUGAAAGGAUCUGCAGUUAUAAACAGCCACUGAAGAUACUUGCAUCACCUGCUGUCAGGAGUUUGGACUUGUUUGCUGUCUCAUGUAGCAAGUGUAAUUAAAGCUGUUUGUUAAAUCCA